rnacentral:lncRNA from 1 species
AGGAAGACAAGUGAAAAUAAAAGAAGACACUUAACUUCCUGGAAAGACAGCAGCAAUUGAAGGAACCAUGAUCGGAACUCAGGAGUUUCCAGCUCCAAAGCAUUGGCUGGGGACCACUGUGCUAUCCCACCUCCAAAAUCUCCAGUGUAGACUGGAUGCUGUUUUUACAAGCAUCUUCUUGCUUUCUAGUUUGGGGUCUUCCCACAAUAAUCCAAUUUUCUGUCAUUUUUUUUUCAAGAAACUCCUUUUUCUUCUCAAAAUUUCUAGUUAACUUGCAGUGCUUUUCCUGCUAAGUGCAUAUUUUAGCAUAUCAUUUCUGCCUUUCCCAACUGAAAUUUCUUCAUUAGCCUCACUGACUGUCUCAUCUUAUUAGACUGGUCAAAUCUCCUCUAGAACCCUAGAGGCUAAAGAAAAACCUCUCAGGGCACUAUAAUAUAUGGUUAGGAGCCCAGGCCUUGGAAUCAAAAUAAUCAGUGAUCAAAUCCUAGCUCUACCACUCAAUCAUGUGACCUUGCACAAAGUACUUAACCCAUUAAAACCUUAGUUUCCUCAUCUGUAAAAUGGGAAUAACAACACAAAAUGGUGAGGAUUGAAUUCAUGCAAAAUGCUCACAAUACCUGACACACAGUUAGUGCUCAGUAUGAUCGUUUUUAUCCUUAAGCUGUUGUUUUGUCGUCAUUAAGUACAUCAAGAAAUACUGGCCAACUGAAAGAUUAUGAGAUGGGGCUCUGAAGAUUUGAUUUUACAUUUUAAAUUUCCUCCAUUUGUUUUAAACUGGUAAUAAAAUGUUGAUGGGGUCUAGGAAAUAUUCUCCAUCAACCUACAUGGGGCUGCCUGGGUAUUUUAGAUUGCUGGCUCCAACUAAAAGCUUAAUCAGUGGGUAUUCCUAUAAUAUUUGUUCUCACAAAUGAAAGCUUUACUAAGGAUCUUUACUAUUGAGAUAUGUAUGUAAAGAAGUUUAAGUAAGUAGUCAUGAAAUGUUUUAAAAGACUUUAAUAACUUCCCUUUCUCAAUGUUUAACAGAAAAAGAAAGUUCCAGAGAAUGUACAAAUGCCAGUGGCAUGACUAUAUUCUCAAAACUAUUUUGAGAAGAAGAUUUUAUAUUUAUAUUCAGAAAUCUCAAAACUGUGAAAUUAAAUGAUCAAUUUCCCUGUUAUUCUUGUCCCCAAAGGGCACUUCUACCUGGGAAUUUUCUAGAUGAGAUUUUUCUGCUGUUCAAUACAGCAAAAUACUGACCCUGGUUGUUUUGCCUGAUAAAUUGGUCUGGCUCUGAAAGCUUUCAGGUCUUUGAAAAGGUGCCUAAGAUAUAAUUGCAUUAGAAAAAUAUUAAAAGGAAAUGGAAAAACAACCUGGACUUGACUUAUUUUCUAACAAGUAGAAAUGACUUUUUGAGAAGAGCUGGUUAAAUGGCCAUGAAGCAUGGCUGGACUCUCUAUAAUGAUUUAAUGGGCUUCAAAAGUGGCAACAAUAUUGGUGAAUUUAAUAGAAGUAAAUAUUAGUGCAAAUUAACAACUCGUCCAACUCCAUAGCUCAAUAUAUAUGCCUCAAGAUUUUAAAAAAAUAAAUAAAAAGAAAAAUGCUUCAUUACACUCAUCCAAAGUAAGCAGUCAAGAGACUUAUUUUUGGUUUAACAGUACCUAAAACUCAUAAUUCACCAAAGACUAAAGUGAAAGUAUCACAAUUUGGCACUACAUGACAGAAAACGAUCUUCAAUUAAAAAUCUAUUGCAGAGUUAAAAAAAAAAAAAAAGUUAUGACGUGUGAAAAAAAAUGGAUGUACUUGAGAAAGCUCAAGUAUUUCUACUAGAAUAAAAUCUCCUAUGUUUAAUCAGUUCCUUGGAACUUACCAGAAAACACUCAUAACACCAAAACUAAGCAAAACAAAACAAAAACAAAACAAAAAAACAAAAAAAACUUUGGUUACAAAGUGCCCAUUUUUCUGAUUUGUACAAAUGCAUACUUGUUAAAUAUUUGUUUUGAGACAUAACUUGCAGUCAUCCUGGCAACAGUGAGUCAGAUGGUUUUAUCGUAAAUCUAUUGACCAGUAACAGUUUGGGAGAAGUAAAAAGUAGGCUAGAAAUGAAUGGGCUCAGAUGUGAAGUGGAAAGGACACUUGGCUGACUUGAGAUGUUGACCAUUUAGUUAGGAUCGCUGACGCUCAUAGCAUUACCAGACAUGUGAAUUUGCAGAAGGACCUGAGAACAGAAUGCUUUUAAAGUGUGGGGAAAAAAAGGAGAGAAGAAAAGCUGAGUCACUGAGUCCUGUAGGGAGAUCACCCAAGGAAGGAAAAUCAUUAAGGCCUGCAUAUCUUCCCACUACCAUUUUCUAAGGGAUCCCUGAAUGAUCGCCCAAACAUUCUGAUCCAGCCGCUCCAUAUGCGUGUUUCAACCAUACACAGAUUUCUCCUCCAUUUUGUCUUUUUCGAAGUGCAUAAACAAGAGCUUGGAUUACUCUCCUUGUCCCUGUCCCCAGCCCUAACCCACCCCCCUCCACCGAUCCCUGCUUCCAAACUAAUAUACAGUUUAAGGAAAGUAGUGUUCUUACUACGUAAACUCAGCUUCAAUUCAAAUCCCCUGACUCCAUCUUAGAUAACUAAGUAGCUGUGUGUAAACAGUCUGGAGCCUACCUAUCCACCCACUCCUGCCCUUUUCUGUGUGGAAGAAUGUACUUUCCUCAAGGGACAGAAAUACCAUAUGACACAGUAAAGGAUAACCAUUCUUACAUGGUCAGAGGUUCACAUUCUCAGAUCAACAAAUCUUUGAAUUAUGUCUCUUAGUUUUUGAGAGAAACGCAGUAUCAGUGAAGGCAAGAUGUUUCCAAGGCCAAGACUGAAAAGUCAGCGGAGCAAAAAUAUCUCACCUGAGGGGUUCGGGAGGAGCUGGGACUGCUAGAGGCUGACGAGACCAUGCUCACAUUGGGAUUCAUGCUCCGUUCCCUCUCGUCCUGGUAAAUGCGAUCCCGCUCCACUUCCGGCAGAUUGAGGAAAUUCUGCAUGGCCCUCAGGUUUACUAAAAGAGACUGAGAGGCUGUCCGAGGGUCUUCUUCCUUACGCAAAAUCUCAGACAACAAUCCCUGAUUAAAAGGAAGAAAAAAGAAAAACAGGCCAAGUCAUAUCUGCAGGUACGUGUGUGGUUUCCAUCAUCUGCCCCCUCCCCCUUUGUUGGUAUUACCAGCUGGCUGUAAUGUCAAGAACCUCAGUCUAAUUGCUGAGGGUUCUUCAGCAGUAAGAUUUUGUGGGACUGUGCUUGCCUUCCAGGGCUGUGCCUUAAUCUGGACCGUUCUAUUCUGACACUUUAUCAUCACUGUAAUAAUCGUCAGUGUACAGAGAUGCCAGCUAGCAAGGUAGGCGCUCGGAAGGCUUGUGAAACUGCAAUUACCACCAGGUGCCUCCUACAAGUAUUUCAGGAACUGUUAGAACUCUCUCUGCUUGAAACUGGGAACACUUGGCAGUCCUGCUCAGCUUUACAAAUCUGCCAAGUUUGGUAAAUUUAGUUCCGACAUUUAAACAGCAUGGGAGAUUUACAUCGACU